GCUGGGCGUGGUGGUGGACUCCUGUAAUCCAAGCUACUCGGGAGGCUUUGGUAGGAGGAUCACAAGUUCAAGGCUAAUCUCAGAAACUUAGCGAGACCCUGUCUC
rnacentral:sRNA from 1 species